rnacentral:rRNA from 1 species
CAGUAGCCGCGGUAAUACGUAGGUGGCAAGCGUUGUCCGGAAUUAUUGGGCGUAAAGGGCUCGCAGGCGGUUUCUUAAGUCUGAUGUGAAAGCCCCCGGCUCAACCGGGGAGGGUCAUUGGAAACUGGGAAACUUGAGUGCAGAAGAGGAGAGUGGAAUUCCACGUGUAGCGGUGAAAUGCGUAGAGAUGUGGAGGAACACCAGUGGCGAAGGCGACUCUCUGGUCUGUAACUGUCGCUGAGGAGCGAAAGCGUGGGGAGCGAACAGGAUUAGAUACCCGUGUAGUCCCUGUCUCUUAUAC